GCACCGAUGGUGCAAGGCACGGCAUCGCUGCCCGGAAAGCAGGAGGUGCGGGUUCGAGUCCCGCCUGGUGCA
rnacentral:tRNA from 1 species